ensembl:lncRNA
GUUGUAGAGGUGUCGUAGAAGGUUGUAGAGGUGUCGUAGAAGGUAGUAGAGGUGCAGUAGAGGGUGAGGUGUCGUAGAAGGUGGUAGAGGUGUCGUAGAAGGUUGUAGAGGUGUCGUAGAAGGUUGUAGAGGUGUCGUAGAAGGUGGUAGAGGUGUCGUAGAAGAUGGUAGAGGUGUCGUAGAAGGUGGUAGAGGUGUCGUAGAAGGUAGUAGAGGUGUCGUAGAAGGUAGUAGAGGUGUCGUAGAAGGUGGUAGAGGUGUCGUAGAAGGUGGUAGAGGUGUCGUAGAAGGUGGUAGAGGUGUCGUAGAGGUGUCGUAGAAGGUGGUAGAGGUGUCAGAAGGUGGUAGAGGUGUCAGAAGGUGGUAGAGGUGUCGUAGAAGAUGGCAGAGGUGUCGUAGAAGAUGGUAGAGGUGUCGUAGAAGGUGGUAGAGGUGUCGUAGAAGGUAGUAGAGGUGCAGUAGAGGGUGAGGUGCCGUAGAAGGUGGUAGAGGUGUCGUAGAAGGUUGUAGAGGUGUCGUAGAAGGUUGU